UUCGCAGGGUUUAGGUGUCUCAGAGGACU
rnacentral:piRNA from 1 species